rnacentral:misc_RNA from 1 species
GUGAUUGAAAUCGAGCGUGUCUUCAUUGACCGCUCACCCUUCUCACCAUCCACAUACACCUGUGCACUGUUUAGCCUGAGCCGGUUUUCCGGUCCAGGUUAUCAUUUCAUACAAACUCUAGUCCUUAUGAAUGUAAACGUUUUAAUACAUAAU